AUUCUUUAAUAUUAUUUCUCUUAUGAGUCUAAAAAAAAAACAAUUAACAAAAAAAGUAAAAAAUUUUACAUUAAACUUUGGUCCUCAGCACCCUGCUGCGCAUGGUGUUUU
rnacentral:ribozyme from 1 species